UGAGUACGAGAUGCUACGGCAUCGAAGCAGUCUAUGUCAUACUUCCAAGAAAAGCUUGCACUGUCAGAAACAGACAAUGCCUGUACCAUAACCGACACAGGUGGGUAGGUAGAGUAUACUAAGGGGCGCGAGAUAACUCUCUCUAAGGAACUCGGCAAAAUGACUCCGUAACUUCGGGAGAAGGAGUGCCUUAUUUUUAAGGUUGCAAUAACAAGAUCCAAGCAACUGUUUACCAAAAACACAGGUCUCCGCUAAGUCGUAAGACGAUGUAUGGGGGCUGACGCCUGCCCAGUGCCAGAAGGUUAAAGAAGUCGGUUAGCAUUCGCGAAGCUGGUAACUGAAGCCCUGGUGAACGGCGGCCGUAACGAUAACGGUCCUAAGGUAGCGAAAUUCCUUGUCGGGUAAGUUCCGACCCGCACGAAAGGCGUAAUGAUUUGGAUACUGUCUCGGAGAGGGGCUCGGUGAAAUAGACUUGUCUGUGAAGAUGCGGACUACCUUCACCUGGACAGAAAGACCCUAUGAAGCUUUACUGUAACUUGAAAUUGAAAUUGGACUUUAUUUGCGCAGUAUAGGUGGGAGGCGUUGAAAAUAUUCUUGCGGGAAUAUUGGAGCCAUCAGUGAGAUACCACUCUUGUAAUGUUAGAUUUCUAACUUUAUAUCAUUAUCUGGUUAAAGAACAGUUUCAGGCGGGCAGUUUGACUGGGGCGGUCGCCUCCCAAAUGGUAACGGAGGCGCACAAAGGUUUCCUCUGAACGGGUAGAAAUCGUAUCUAGAGUGUAAAGGCAUAAGGAAGCUUGACUGUGAGACCUACAAGUCGAGCAGGGACGAAAGUCUGUCUUAGUGAUCUGACGGUGCUGAGUGGAAAGGCCGUCACUCAACGGAUAAAAGUUACUCUAAGGAUAACAGGCUGAUCUCCCCCAAGAGUUCACAUCGACGGGGAGGUUUGGCACCUCGAUGUCGGCUCAUCGCAUCCCGGGGCGGUAGUACGUCCCAAGGGUUGGGCUGUUCGCCCAUGAAAGCGGUACGCGAGCUGGGUUCAGAACGUCGUGAGACAGUUCGGUCCAUAUCCGGUGUAGGCGUUAGAAUAUUGAGAGGAGCCUUCUUUAGUACGAGAGGACCGAGAAGGACAUACCUCUGGUGUACCAGUUAUCGUGCCAACGGUAAACGCUGGGUAGCUAUGUAUGGUGUGGAUAACCGCUGAAAGCAUCUAAGUGGGAAGCCCACCUCAAGAUAAGCAUUCUCA
rnacentral:rRNA from 1 species